UACAGAGGGUGCAAGCGUUAAUCGGAAUUACUGGGCGUAAAGCGCACGUAGGCGGCUUCUUAAGUCGGUGGUGAAAUCCUGGAGCUCAACUCCAGAACUGCCUUCGAUACUGGGAAGCUCGAGUCCGGGAGAGGUGAGUGGAACUGCGAGUGUAGAGGUGAAAUUCGUAGAUAUUCGCAAGAACACCAGUGGCGAAGGCGGCUCACUGGCCCGGUACUGACGCUGAGGUGCGAAAGCGUGGGGAGCAAACAGG
rnacentral:rRNA from 1 species